UUUUUUUUUUGUGUUUUUUUUUUUAAAUUGGAAUGAAUUAUGGAUCUCUCAAAUAUGAAACUGAAGACGUAGGAAUCAUUCCGGCGAAAGAGACGUCCCUUAAAAUUAUCCAUAAAUUUUGAAAAUAUAAAGAAACUAAGGUUUCAACUCCAUUAGACAAAGUUGAUCUUCGUCUGCAUGAUUUGGCUAUUUAUUAGGUUCUGUUUGGUCUGAUAGCUCUUCAACUGUUUCUGUUCUUUGUGUGCAUGCUUCGUUCCAAAAAUCGAGAAUUAUAGCUCUUUGAU
rnacentral:lncRNA from 1 species